rnacentral:rRNA from 1 species
UACGGAGGGUGCAAGCGUUAUCCGGAAUCACUGGGCGUAAAGGGAGCGCAGACGGAACUGCAAGUCUGAUGUGAAAGCCCGGGGCUCAACCGCGGGACUGCAUUGGAAACUGUAGAUCUGGAGUGCCGGAGGGGCAAGCGGAAUUCCUGGUGUAGCGGUGAAAUGCGUAGAUAUCAGGAGGAACACCGGCGGCGAAGGCGGCUUGCUGGACGGCAACUGACGUUGAGGCUCGAAAGCGUGGGGAGCAAACAGGAUUAGAUACCCGGGUA